AUUGAACGCUGGCGGCAUGCCUAACACAUGCAAGUCGAACGGCAGCACAGUAAGAGCUUGCUAUUACGGGUGGCGAGUGGCGGACUGGUGAGGAAUACAUCGGAAUCUACUUUUUCGUGGGGGAUAACGUAGGGUAACUUACGCUAAUACCGCAUACGACCUACGGGUGGAAGCAGGGGAUCUUCGGACCUUGCGCGAUUGAAUGGGCCGAUGUCGGAUUAGGUAGUUGGCGGGGUAAAGGCCCACCAAGGCGACGAUCCGUAGCUGGUCUGAGAGGAUGAUCAGCCACACUGGAACUGAGACACGGUCCAGACUCCUACGGGAGGCAGCAGUGGGGAAUAUUGGACAAUGGGCGAAAGCCUGAUCCAGCCAUGCCGCGUGGAUGAUGAAGGCCUUCGGGUUGUAAAGUGCUUUUGUUGGGAAAGAAAAGCAGCAGGUUAAUACACAGCUGUCAUGACGGUACCCAAAGAAUAAGCACCGGCUAACUACGUG
rnacentral:rRNA from 1 species